AGGACCCGCCGCCAUCAUCUGGUCCGUCCCCAACUCGCCAGUUUACCCCAGCCGCCGCAAGCAGGGACAGAAGGAGCUCGUGCGUGCGCGCGCUCCGCCCCCGCCGACGCAAUGAGGGCCAAGGUUCGUCUUCACUCGCCCCCUCUGUUGUGAUGUUGUUUCGGUGGUGAUGAUGCGUUGAAAUCGUGUCCUAGGUAGUUUUGUAGAGCUUAGGGUUUGGAUGUGUGGUGUGGCAUUCCUUCUUGCUAGAGUUUUGGUGACGCUAUGAUGUUCUCUAUGAUGACCAAACACAGAUGACGAGUCCGAUCUAAUCCAUUCCAUUAAACCAUGGGGACAAUCGAGGCAUUUGUCUGAGAGAACACUAGCUACUUGAUAAUUUUUGUUUCUGUUGCUGUCUGGUACAAGUAUUAGAUUUUUUAGCGGCUGUUUCUGCAGUACUGGCAUAAUGAGGAAAAACUAGAUAUGUCUGAUCUAAUUGAUGAGAAAUACCUCCUACUCAUUCUGAAUGCCAGUUCACUGCAUGUUACAACUAUUCUUUUGAAUAGAUCCUACUGUUUAUUUGAUGGUUACACAAUGAGUUAGUUGUACAAGACAGCCUGAGAUUUUCCUAAAAAAAGACAGAUUCUUCGCUGAUUAUGUACUAUUUCUAGUUGAAUAAUUCUUGCAGAUUCAUUCGUUGUUCAAUAUGUAAUAGACCUAGUUCAUGCAAUGAUUAACACUAUUGCUGGGUGAUUCUACUUGCAAGUCAACUGUUUGGUCUUUACGUUGGGAUGUGAUGAAGAACUAUUGGUCCGUGUUUCUGAUCAUCAGUGAUGAGUAAAACACUCCAUAAUUCUGAUCCCUGACAAAUUGUAUACUCUAGUAGAAUAGUUCUUGCAGAUUCAUUCGUUGUUCAAUAUGUGUAGACCUAGUUCAUGCAAUGAUUAACACUAUUGCUGGGUGAUUGCUACUUGCAAGUUAACUGUUUGGUCUUUAUGUUGGGAUGUGAUGAAGAAUUAUUGGUCCGUGUUUCUGAUCAUCAGUGAUGAGCAAAACACUCCAUAAUUCUGAUCCCUGACAAAUUGCACAGUCCUUAGUUUGGUCUGGUCCAGUUUGAUGUUUUUUUUUUCAGAUGAGACUCUCUGUUAGAAUCUAAGCAUUUGCUAUUGAAUGCGGGUGAACUGAUUCAUCAUGUCCCAUUUGAUGUGCAGUGGAAGAAGAAGAGAAUGAGGAGGCUCAAGAGGAAGCGCCGAAAGAUGAGGCAGAGAUCUAAGUAGGCGCAUCUUGGGGCUGAGGGAGGGGAGCUUCACCUGCACCAUGGCUGCUUAGCUGUAGAUGUUGGUGAUGUAA
rnacentral:lncRNA from 1 species